CGCCAGUAUACAAAACUCCAGCGAUUAUUUUGUGUAGUCCUGAGAAUUUAUUCAAUGAAUUAAAACUUUCAACAACGGAUCUCUUGGUUCUGGCAUCGAUGAAGAACGCAGCGAAAUGCGAUAAGUAAUGUGAAUUGCAGAAUUCAGUGAAUCAUCGAAUCUUUGAACGCACAUUGCGCCCUCUGGCAUUCCGGAGGGCAUGCCUGUUCGAGCGUCAUUUC
rnacentral:rRNA from 1 species